rnacentral:rRNA from 1 species
CCUACGGGUGGCAGCAGUGAGGAAUAUUGGUCAAUGGACGCAAGUCUGAACCAGCCAUGCCGCGUGCAGGAAGACGGCUCUAUGAGUUGUAAACUGCUUUUGUACGAGGGUAAACGCAGAUACGCGUAUCUGUCUGAAAGUAUCGUACGAAUAAGGAUCGGCUAACUCCGGGCCAGCAGCCGCGGUAAUCCGGAGGAUUCAAUCGUUAUCCGGAUUUAUUGGGUUUAAAGGGUGCGUAGGCGGUCGUAUAAGUUAGAGGUGAAAGCCCGCGGCUCAACGUCGGAAUUGCCUGUGAGACUGUUCGGCUAGAGAGUAGUUGAGGUAGGCGGAAUGUAUGGUGUAGCGGUGAAAUGCUUAGAGAUCAUACAGAACACCGAUUGCGAAGGCAGCUUACCAAGCUACUUCUGACGUUGAGGCACGAAAGCGUGGGGAGCAAACAGGAUUAGAUACCCCAGUAGUC